rnacentral:precursor_RNA from 14 species
AUGCAAGGAGAUGAGUCUUCCUCUGGAAGCUGGUUUCACAUGGUGGCUUAGAUUUUCCCAUCUUUGUAUCUAGCACCAUUUGAAAUCAGUGUUCUAGGGGCAAGAAUUACAGCGUGGGAAGA